UUAUACGAUGUGUAAAUUCUACAGUUGAAUUUGGAAUAUUUUGUAUUCUCCAUAUUAGUAGCCUACUGAUGAUUUGAUUGGAUAUAUGAUCAGAAAGAACUGAGUGUAUUUUUAUGAAUAAGAAGAAGAGAGGAAAAGAGGAAAAGAGAGAGGAUUGCACAUCUGGAAAUGUUGGUAUUCGUCAUUCGAUAUUUUCAGCAACUGAAUUGAACAACACAUUUUGUUGUACAACGCUGUCUGGAAAACAUCUCCCUUCCCUCUAGCAGAAGAAUCGCAGUGUGUUUCAGUUGGACAGACUGGACAGAGCGCAGCCGACACAGCGACGGUGUGAGUGGAGCAGAGAGAACCGAGGAUGGGGGGCGGAGGUCAGCAGACGGAGUCAAGCGAGCCGGCCAAGGGUGACGGGGUUGGGCCCGGUGGAGGGCGAGGUGGCAGUGCAGUCUACACCUGGGAAGAGGUUCAGAGGCACUGCCACAGAGGCGACCAGUGGUUGGUCAUCGACAGGAAGGUCUAUAAUAUUACCCAGUGGGCGAAGAGACACCCGGGGGGCAUCAGGGUCAUCAGUCACUUUGCUGGAGAAGAUGCCACGGUCAGUAGCCUAACUAUGGAAGUUGUUGGUGAAAUGUUCUCAAGUUAUUCCAGG